AGACCCGAAACCCGGUGAUCUAGCCAUGGGCAGGUUGAAGGUUGGGUAACACUAACUGGAGGACCGAACCGACUAAUGUUGAAAAAUUAGCGGAUGACCUGUGGCUGGGGGUGAAAGGCCAAUCAAACCGGGAGAUAGCUGGUUCUCCCCGAAAGCUAUUUAGGUAGCGCCUCGUGAAUUCAUCUCCGGGGGUAGAGCACUGUUUCGGCUAGGGGGCCAUCCCGGCUUACCAACCCGAUGCAAACUGCGAAUACCGGAGAAUGUUAUCACGGGAGACACACGGCGGGUGCUAACGUCCGUCGUGAAGAGGGAAACAACCCAGACCGCCAGCUAAGGUCCCAAAGUCAUGGUUAAGUGGGAAACGAUGUGGGAAGGCCCAGACAGCCAGGAUGUUGGCUUAGAAGCAGCCAUCAUUUAAAGAAAGCGUAAUAGCUCACUGGUCGAGUCGGCCUGCGCGGAAGAUGUAACGGGGCUAAACCAUGCACCGAAGCUGCGGCAGCGAACGUAUCACCCAAGACAACUUUACGGAGUUGACGAUUGACGGAGCGAAGCGACGUCAAAGCGUUCAUUAAAGUCGAGUUGGCUUAGGGAUACGUUCGUUGGGUAGGGGAGCGUUCUGUAAGCCUGUGAAGGUGUGUCGUGAGGCAUGCUGGAGGUAUCAGAAGUGCGAAUGCUGACAUAAGUAACGAUAAAGCGGGUGAAAAGCCCGCUCGCCGGAAGACCAAGGGUUCCUGUCCAACGUUAAUCGGGGCAGGGUGAGUCGACCCCUAAGGCGAGGCCGAAAGGCGUAGUCGAUGGGAAACGGGUUAAUAUUCCCGUACUUGGUGUUACUGCGAAGGGGGGACGGAGA
rnacentral:rRNA from 1 species